rnacentral:rRNA from 1 species
UAGAGGAAGUAAAAGUCGUAACAAGGUUUCCGUAGGUGAACCUGCGGAAGGAUCAUUAUCGAAUAAACUUGAACAGGCUGUUGCUGGUUCUUCUCUUAGGAGGRGGAGCAUGUGCACGCUUGUCAUUUUUUUGUUUCUCCAACUGUGCACAUAUUGUAGGACCUGGARAGAGGAUUGUCAGAGUACAGAUUGGGGACUGCUGUGCUUUCAAACAAGUCAGCUUUGCCUUGCAUUUUCCAGGCCUAUGUCAUUUUCACAACCUCUGAAUGUGUUUAGAAUGUUAUAUGAAUUAUACAUUAUACAACUUUCAGCAACGGAUCUCUUGGCUCUCGCAUCGAUGAAGAACGCAGCGAAAUGCGAUAAGUAAUGUGAAUUGCAGAAUUCAGUGAAUCAUCGAAUCUUUGAACGCACCUUGCGCUCCUUGGAAUUCCGAGGAGCAUGCCUGUUUGAGUGUCAUUAAAUUCUCAACCACGCUUAGUGGCUUGGACAUUGGGGGGUUUUGCAGGCUUUGGAAAUGAAGUCUGCUCCUCUGAAAUGCAUUAGUGGUAUCUGAGCAGAGAAACUACUGGAGGUGUGAUAAAUUAUCUAUGCCUUGGUGURCUGCAUGAAACAGAUUGCACUGCUUCGAACGAGUGAAAUCCCAUUUGGGGUGACACAUUUGACACAUUUGACCUCAAAUCAGGUAGGACUACCCGCUGAACUUAAGCAUAUCAUA